UACAGAGGGUGCAAGCGUUGUUCGGAAUUAUUGGGCGUAAAGCGCGUGUAGGCGGCUUUGCAAGUCGGGUGUGAAAGCCCUCAGCUCAACUGAGGAAGUGCGCCCGAAACUGCAGAGCUUGAGUACCGGAGAGGGUGGCGGAAUUCCCCAAGUAGAGGUGAAAUUCGUAGAUAUGGGGGAGGAACACCGGUGGCGAAGGCGGCCAC
rnacentral:rRNA from 1 species